rnacentral:rRNA from 1 species
UACAGAGGUCUCAAGCGUUGUUCGGAUUCAUUGGGCGUAAAGGGUGCGUAGGCGGCGCGGUAAGUCGGGUGUGAAAUCUCGGGGCUUAACUCCGAAACUGCAUUCGAUACUGCCGUGCUUGAGGACUGGAGAGGAGACUGGAAUUUACGGUGUAGCGGUGAAAUGCGUAGAUAUCGUAAGGAAGACCAGUGGCGAAGGCGGGUCUCGUGGACAGUUCCUGACGCUGAGGCACGAAGGUCAGGGGGAGCAAACGGG